CCUACGGGGUGCAGCAGUGAGGAAUAUUGGUCAAUGGGCGAGAGCCUGAACCAGCCAAGUCGCGUGAGGGAAGACGGUCCUACGUAUUGUAAACCUCUUUUGUCAGGGAGCAAGGAGCGCCACGAGUGGCGGGGCGAGAGUACCUGAAGAAAAAGCAUCGGCUAACUCCGUGCCAACAGCCGCGGUAAUACGGAGGAUGCGAGUGUUAUCCGGAUUUAUUGGGUUUAAAGGGUGCGCAGGCGGAAGCGGCAAGUCAGCGGUAAAAGUGCGGGGCUCAACCUCGCCGCGCCGUUGAAACUGGUCUUCUAGAGUGGGCGAGAAGUAUGCGGAAUGCGUGGUGUAGCGGUGAAAUGCAUAGAUAUCACGCAGAACUCCGAUUGCGAAGGCAGCAUACCGGCGCCCAACUGACGCUCAGGCACGAAAGCGUGGGUAUCGAACAGGAUUAGAUACCCUAGUAGUC
rnacentral:rRNA from 1 species